UACGGAGGGUGCAAGCGUUUGUCCGGAUUUAUUGGGUUUAAAGGGUGCGUAGGCGGCUUGAUAAGUCCGUGGUGAAAGCCAACAGCUCAACUGUUGAACUGCCAUGGAUACUGUCAGGCUUGAGUACAGACGAGGUAGGCGGAAUGGAUCGUGUAGCGGUGAAAUGCAUAGAUACGAUCCAGAACUCCGAUUGCGAAGGCAGCUUACUAGGCUGUAACUGACGCUGAGGCACGAAAGCGUGGGGGAGCGAACAGG
rnacentral:rRNA from 1 species